rnacentral:tRNA from 1 species
GUCACUAUUAUUCGGUGGAAACCUCCCCUGAAUAAGGGACAGGUCGUAGGUUCGAAUCCUACUGGGGGCGCCA